ACCCUCACCAGAGUACCAAUUGGAGGGCAAGUCUGGUGCCAGCAGCCGCGGUAAUUCCAGCUCCAAUAGCGUAUAUUAAACUUGUUGCAGUUAAAAAGCUCGUAGUUGAAUUUCAGUCUUUAGCUCUGCCCUCGCGGCUUGCGCUUUUGGCUUUUGUCGUUACUUUGAGAAAAUUAGAGUGUUUCAAGCAGGCUUUUGUCUUGAAUACUUGAGCAUGGAAUAACUAAGUAGGACCUUGGUUCUAUUUUGUUGGUUUUGUACCUGGGUAAUGAUUAAUAGGAACGGUUGGGGGCAUUCGUAUUUAACUGUCAGAGGUGAAAUUCUUAGAUUUGUUAAAGACGAACCACUGCGAAAGCAUUUGCCAAGGACGUUUCCAUUAAUCAAGAACGAAAGUUAGGGGAUCGAAGACGAUCAGAUACCGUCGUAGUCCUAACCAUAAACUAA
rnacentral:rRNA from 1 species